AAUCAACGCUGGCGGCGUGCAUAACACAUGCAAGUCGAACGAUGAAGAUUAAAAGAUUUCUUCGGAAUGAACUUAAUUGGAUUAGUGGCGGACGGGUGAGUAACGCGUGAGUAACCUGCCUUGUACAAGGGGAUAGCCGUUGGAAACGACGAAUAAUACCCUAUGACAUCAAAUAAUCGCAUGAUAAUUUGAUCAAAGAUUUAUCGGUAUAAGAUGGACUCGCGUCUGAUUAGCUAGUUGGUAGAGUAAAAGCCUACCAAGGCAACGAUCAGUAGCCGGCUUGAGAGAGUGUGCGGCCACAUUGGGACUGAGACACGGCCCAGACUCCUACGGGAGGCAGCAGUGGGGAAUUUUGCACAAUGGGGGAAACCCUGAUGCAGCGACGCCGCGUGAUUUAGAAGGCCUUCGGGUUGUAAAAAUCUUUUGUAUGGGAAGAAAAUGACAGUACCAUACGAAUAAGGACCGGCUAAUUACGUG
rnacentral:rRNA from 1 species